UCAGUGAAUACUCCAGCUGCUCUUACACGCCUGAUGUUGUUUCAAAUGUGUAUCCAGCAGCAAGCUCACAAUAUCAUUCCAAUAAUUCAGCAUACUAUAACAAUUCUGGAAGCAUCAGUGAAUCUACUGAACAAACAUAUCCGGUCAGGCCAGAAAGUAGAAAUGUUUCAAAGCAGAGGAGGUCUAAAGAGGGUGAGAAAAAAUCAGUCAAGAAAAGGCAUGAUGGAGAUGGCUCCUCUGGCAGAAUUGUGAACAAGACAUCUUUCCAGACCUCUGCAUGCAGCAGAUAUCCCUUGAAACCAGACAGGUUCAGUAGAGCUACAAACAGGAAG